AAUCGAACUCGGAGAUAGCUGGUUCUCCCCGAAAUAGCUUUAGGGCUAGCCUCAUAUUAGAUACCCGGAGGUAAAGCACUGAAUGGCCUAGCGCCCGAGAGGGUAGCGAAGCCUAUCAAACUAAGAAUGCCGGAGUAUUGAUGUAUGGGAGUCAGACAGUGUGAGAUAAAUCUCAUUGUCAAAAGGGAAACAGCCCAGAUCUACAGCUAAGGUCCCAAAUUGUAUCUAAGUGGAAAACGAUGUGGAAAUACGCAGACAACCAGGAUGUUGGCUCAGAAGCAGCCACUCAUUUAAAGAGUGCGUAAUAGCUCACUGGUCGAGCGUCUCUGCGCGGAAAAUUUAACGGGGCUAAGAUACAAACCGAAGCUUAGGCUGCACGAAAGUGCGGGGUAGGGGAGCGUUGUGUAAGCGGAGAAACAGUAGCGUAAGCGGCUGUGGAGUUUACAGAAGUGAGAAUGCCGGAAUGAGUAGCGCGAAUGUGGUGAGAAUCCACAUGGCCGGAAACCUCAGGUUUUUGGAGGAAGGUUCGUCCGCUCCAAGUUAGGCGGGAGCUAAGGUCAGGCCGAAAGGCGUAGCCGAUGCACAGACGGUAGAGAUUCCGUCCCCACCGAAAGAUUUAAGCACAGGGACACUUUUAGAAGGUCGGAGCCAGGUGUUGGUUCUGGUAGUGAUCGAGGGAAAUAUAGUACCGAAGUCCGGCUGGAUAAGAGGCGAGAAAAGCUGUGUGUAUAUCUAAGGUGCCCGUACCGCAAACCGACACAGGUAGGUAGGAAGAAGAUUCUAAGGCCAACGGGAGAAGGGUUGUUAAGGAACUCGGCAAAUUGACCCCGUAACUUCGGGAGAAGGGGUGCUCCAGAGAUGGAGCCGCAGAGAAUCGGCCCAAGCAACUGUUUACCAAAAACACAGGUUUGUGCUAAAUCGAAAGAUGACGUAUACGAGCUGACGCCUGCCCGGUGCUGGAAGGUUAAAAGGAGAUGUGCAAGCAUUGAAUUGAAGCCCCAGUGAACGGCGGCCGUAACUAUAACGGUCCUAAGGUAGCGAAAUUCCUUGUCAGGUAAGUUCUGACCCGCAUGAAAGGCGUAAUGAUUUGGGCACUGUCUCAACAGCCCGCCCGGCGAAAUUGUAGUACCGGUGAAGAUGCCGGUUACCCGCGACAAGACGGAAAGACCCCAUGGAGCUUUACUGUAGCCUGAUAUUGGGUUUCGGUGUUGCAUGCACAGGAUAGAUGGGACGCUGGGAAAGAAGCGCUUUGGCGUUUCUGGAGCGGACGUUGGGAUACCAUCCUUGCGACAUUGGAAUUCUAACCUGCGCCUCUGAAUCGAGGCGGGGGACAUUGUCAGGUGGGCAGUUUGACUGGGGCGGUCGCCUCCUAAAAAGUAGCGGAGGCGUUCAAAGGUUCGUUCGAUCUGGACGGAAACCAGAUGAUUGAGUGCAAACGCAUAAACGAGCCUGACUGCGAGACUGACGGGUCGAGCAGAGACGAAAGUCGGAGUUAGUGAUCCGGUGGUAUGUGAGUGGAAAUGCCAUCGCUCAACGGAUAAAAGUUACCCUGGGGAUAACAGGCUGAUCUCCCCCAAGAGUCCACAUCGACGGGGAGGUUUGGCACCUCGAUGUCGGCUCAUCGCAUCCUGGGGCUGUAUUCGGUCCCAAGGGUUUGGCUGUUCGCCAAUUAAAGCGGUACGCGAGCUGGGUUCAGAACGUCGUGAGACAGUUCGGUCCCUAUCUGUCGUGGGCGCAGGAUAUUUGAAAGGCGCUGUCCCUAGUACGAGAGGACCGGGAUGGACGAACCUCUGGUGCACCAGUUGUCACGCCAGUGGCACAGCUGGGCAGCUAUGUUCGGAUCGGAUAAACGCUGAAAGCAUCUAAGCGUGAAGCCGGCCUUAAGAUAAGAUAUCCCACUGAGUCAAUCAGGUAAGACCCCUUGA
rnacentral:rRNA from 1 species